GAAUUAGUGCCACCAUGACAGUAUACAUUGAUAAAAGAAAGUUGAGAUGAAUAUGGGGACCUAUGCCCAAAUUUCGGGGCUCAUAAACUGCAAAUGGAAUCAAUGAAGGAAGACAGGAAAGAAUAAUCAGCCUAUGUAAGCUCCAGGGUGAUAUAAUGUCAUAGAACCAAAGAGAGGACAUAGUUGAAGAACCAGAAGACUGCUGUAGGGUCAAACACUUUAGAGAGCGGUAGGAGAAUUGGAUUUGAGACAGAUUUUUCAUUUGGCAAAAUGGAAGAGAAGCGGAAAACUCAGAAGCACACAACACAUGUUAAGACAGUCAUGAUAAAUUUAUGUAAAUGUUUAGAUUUUACAGUUGGUUAUUUAUAAAGUCAAGUGUAUUACCUAACGAAUCCACCUAAUUUAUCAUCAUAGCCCAAACAAGCCAUCUAACUAAGCAAGUAUGUUUUCCAAGCCACGCAUUUUUUUAUUAGAAUUGUCUUCACGAGCAGCAAUAUAUUCACCAUCAUCCCGUUCCUAGAAUAUUUCUGUUAUCCCCAGACUUCAUCUAUAAGUCAUAUCAUAGAGCAUUUCUCCCUUUAUCUCUUUCACCUGACCCAACUCUAAAGCUCUUUCUACACAACUGAGCUUUACCUCUGCAAUUGGGUAUCUAUAUUCACUAUAUUACUUGACAUCCAUUUUUGAAUGACUAUAAUACGUUGUCUUUCUUCCAUGAAAGCAUAUAAUGUUCUCCUACAAGC
rnacentral:lncRNA from 1 species